UUCUGCUCUUAUUGAAAUCAGU
rnacentral:miRNA from 3 species